CUGGAAUGAUGCGUCUUAGCCAAAUCAUAGAAGGAUGUGCUCCUAAGGUGUUUGUCGAAAUUAAGCUUUUAGCUUAUAUAUUUGUGUAUUAAAUGAAAUGGCAAUGACACCCUUUGUUGAAGUGCACCUAUCUGAUGAUUAAAUAGAGGGAUUGGUUCUCACCUGAUCAGA